UUUAUCCUUCAGGGCAGGGUGAAAUUCCCGACCGGCGGUACAGCCCGCGAGCGGCAUAAUGCUGCAGAUUCUGGUGAAAUUCCAGAGCCGACAGUAAAGUCUGGAUGGAAGAAGGAGGUG
rnacentral:ncRNA from 1 species